rnacentral:rRNA from 1 species
AUUGAACGCUGGCGGCAUACCUUACACAUGCAAGUCGAACGGUAACAGGUCUUCGGAUGCUGGCGAGUGGCGAACGGGUGAGUAAUGCAUCGGAACGUGCCUAGUAGUGGGGGAUAACUACUCGAAAGAGUGGCUAAUACCGCAUGAGAUCUACGGAUGAAAGCAGGGGAUCGCAAGACCUUGUGCUACUAGAGCGGCCGAUGGCAGAUUAGGUAGUUGGUGGGAUAAAAGCUUACCAAGCCGACGAUCUGUAGCUGGUCUGAGAGGACGAUCAGCCACACUGGGACUGAGACACGGCCCCGACUCCAACGGGAGGCAGCAGUGGGGAAUUUUGGACAAUGGGCGAAAGCCUGAUCCAGCAAUGCCGCGUGCAGGAUGAAGGCCUUCGGGUUGUAAACUGCUUUUGUACGGAACGAAAAGCCCCGGGUUAAUACCCUGGGGUCAUGACGGUACCGUAAGAAUAAGCACCGGCUAACUACGUGCCAGCAGCCGCCGUAA